rnacentral:tRNA from 1 species
GGUGGAUGUAGCUCAGUUGGUCAGAGCACCGGAUUGUGGUUCCGGGUGUCGUCGGUUCGAACCCGACCUUCCACCC